GCCAGCAUGGUGCAGUGGAUUGAACAUUGGAUUGUGACUCUGGAGGCCAGGGUUUGAAUCCCCACUCAGCCA